rnacentral:misc_RNA from 1 species
AAAAAAAAAAAAAGGGAUUCUAUAUAUGAAGUAGGAACCUCUCCAAUACCAUCGAUACAUAAUCGCAUGCAUGUUACUAAGCAUACAGCUUCACAAGAUCCAACAAUAUAUAUUUUGCUAAUCCAAGACGUAAAUGAUCAAAGACAACGAACAAAGAUGUUUUGCUAUUUUAAGAAGCUUGAACUUUGCGACAAUAUGAUAGUACCAUUACAAAGUCCUUAGCUGAGGAACCCACCGAUGCUGGUACCUUCUUCGACGUUGAUGCUGUCUGAAACCACAAGUCCACCAAGUUGUGUAAU